rnacentral:rRNA from 1 species
UACAUGGGGUGCAAACGUUGCUCGGAAUUAUUGGGCGUAAAGCGCGCGUAGGCGGUUACUCAAGUCGGAUGUGAAAGCCCUCGGCUUAACUGAGGAAGUGCACCCGAAACUGAGUAGCUAGAGUACUAAAGAGGGUCGCGGAAUUCCCGGUGUAGAGGUGAAAUGCGCAGAUAUCGGGAAGAACACCCGUGGCGAAGGCGGUUCUCUGGGACGGUACUGACGCUGAGACGCGAAAGCGUGGGGAGCGAACAGG